rnacentral:rRNA from 1 species
CCCUUAGAUGUCCGGGGCCGCACGCGCGCUACAAUGGAUGAAUCAACGCGUCAUCCUGGCCCGAAAGGGUUGGGGAACCGCUGAACCUCAUCCGUGGUUGGGAUUGGGGUUUGUAAUUAUUCCCCAUGAACUAGGAAUUCCCAGUAAGCGCGAGUCAUAAGCUCGCGUUGAUUACGUCCCUGCCCUUUGUACACACCGCCCGUCGCUACUACCGAUUGGAUGGUUUAGUGAGAUCCUCGGAUUGGUCACGGCACGGUGGCAACACUGCGUCGGUGCGCCGAGAAGACGAUCAAACUUGAUCAUCUAGAGGAAGUAAAAGUCGUAACA